rnacentral:rRNA from 1 species
CAAGCGACUCUCGGCAACGGAUAUCUCGGCUCACGCAUCGAUGAAGAACGUAGCAAAAUGCGAUACUUGGUGUGAAUUGCAGAAUCCCGUGAACCAUCGAGUUUUUGAACGCAAGUUGCGCCCAAAGCCAUCCGGCUAAGGGCACGCCUGCCUGGGCGUCACGCCUC